AUUGAACGCUGGCGGCAUGCUUUACACAUGCAAGUCGAACGGUAACAGGUUAAGCUGACGAGUGGCGAACGGGUGAGUAAUGCAUCGGAACGUGCCCGGUCGUGGGAGAUAACGCAGCGAAAGCUGCGCUAUUACCGCAUACGAUCUGAGGAUGAAAGCGGGGGACCGUAAGGCCUCGCGCGAUCGGAGCGGCCGAUGUCAGAUUAGGUAGUUGGUGGGGUAAAGGCUCACCAAGCCAACGAUCUGUAGCUGGUCUGAGAGGACGACCAGCCACACUGGGACUGAGACACGGCCCAGACUCCUACGGGAGGCAGCAGUGGGGAAUUUUGGACAAUGGGCGAAAGCCUGAUCCAGCAAUGCCGCGUGCAGGAAGAAGGCCUUCGGGUUGUAAACUGCUUUUGUACGGAGCGAAAAGGUCUCCUCUAAUACAGGGGGCUCAUGACGGUACCGUAAGAAUAAGCACCGGCUAACUACGUGCCAGCAGCCGCCGUAA
rnacentral:rRNA from 1 species